rnacentral:rRNA from 1 species
GACGAACGCUGGCGGCAUGCCUAACACAUGCAAGUCGAACGGAGAUUAUUUCGGUAAUCUUAGUGGCGAACGGGUGAGUAACGCGUGGGCAACCUGCCCUCCAGAUGGGGACAACAUCCCGAAAGGGGUGCUAAUACCGAAUGUGACAGCAAUCUCGCAUGAGGAUGCUGCGAAAGAUGGCCUCUAUUUAUAAGCUAUCGCUAGAGGAUGGGCCUGCGUCUGAUUAGCUAGUUGGUGGGGUAACGGCCUACCAAGGCGAUGAUCAGUAGCCGGUCUGAGAGGCUGAACGGCCAACUUGGGACUGGGACCCGGCCCCGACUCCUACGGGAGGCCGCAGUGGGGAAUCUUCCGCAAUGGGCGAAAGCCUGACGGCGCCAUGCCGCGUGAGUGAUGAAGGAAUUCGUUCCGUAAAGCUCUUUUGUUUAUGACGAAUGUGCAGAUUGUGAACAAUGAUCUGUAAUGACGGUAGUAAAAGAAUAAGCCACGGCUAACUACGUG